rnacentral:rRNA from 1 species
GACGAACGCUGGCGGCGUGCUUAACACAUGCAAGUCGAGCGGAAAGGCCCUUUCGGGGGUACUCGAGCGGCGAACGGGUGAGUAACACGUGAGUAACCUGCCCCAGUCUUUGGGAUAACCCUCGGAAACGGGGGCUAAUACCGAAUACUACCUUCGCCUGCAUGGGUGUUGGUGGAAAGUUUUUCGGUCUGGGAUGGGCUCGCGGCCUAUCAGCUUGUUGGUGGGGUGAUGGCCUACCAAGGCGACGACGGGUAGCCGGCCUGAGAGGGCGACCGGCCACACUGGGACUGAGACACGGCCCAGACUCCUACGGGAGGCAGCAGUGGGGAAUAUUGCACAAUGGGCGGAAGCCUGAUGCAGCGACGCCGCGUGAGGGAUGACGGCUUUCGGGUUGUAAACCUCUUUCAGCAGGGACGAAGCGCAAGUGACGGUACCUGCAGAAGAAGCGCCGGCCAACUACGUGCCAGCAGCCGCAGUAAAC